rnacentral:rRNA from 1 species
AGCGAACGCUGGCGGCAUGCUUAACACAUGCAAGUCGCACGGAUCUUUCGGGAUUAGUGGCGGACGGGUGAGUAACGCGUAGGGAUCUAUCCACGGGUGGGGGACAACUCCGGGAAACUGGAGCUAAUACCGCAUGAUACCUGAGGGUCAAAGGCGCAAGUCGCCUGUGGAGGAACCUGCGUUCGAUUAGCUAGUAGGUGGGGUAACGGCUCACCUAGGCGACGAUCCCUAGCUGGUCUGAGAGGAUGACCAGCCACACUGGAACUGAGACACGGUCCAGACUCCUACGGGAGGCAGCAGUGGGGAAUAUUGGACAAUGGGCGAAAGCCUGAUCCAGCAAUGCCGCGUGUGUGAAGAAGGUCUUCGGAUUGUAAAGCACUUUCGACGGGGACGAUGAUGACGGUACCCGUAGAAGAAGCCCCGGCUAACUUCGUGC